AUGAUUGAACGUGCCAAGAUUGAUGGCCAAAUUGAUGGAGUAGUGAAUCUUCUUGUAGAUGGUGGUCUCUCUAUCAUUCAAUAUGCCGACGAUAUGAUUCUCUUCAUGGAUCAUGACCUAGAGAAGGCGAGAAAUCUGAAAUUAAUUUUAUCAGCUUUUGAGCAACUCUCAGCUCUUAAGAUAAACUUUUGUAAAAGUGAGUUGUUUUGUUUUGGCGAGGCUCAAGACGAGGCCCACCUGUACGCUGACCUGUUCGGGUGUGGGUUGGGCCAGUUUCCAAUCACAUAUUUGGGGAUACCGAUACACUAUCGGAGACUCACAAAUGCUGAAUGGAAACAUGUCGAUGAGAGACUACAAAAAAGGUUAAGCGGUUGGAAAGGUAAACUGCUAUCUCUGGGCGGAAGAUUGGUCCUCAUAAACUCAGUACUAAGGAAUAUGGUACUAUAUAUGGUUUCCUUUUUCCAACUACCGAAAGGAGUAUUACAUAAAUUGGAUUACUUCCGAUCAAGAUUCUUUUGGCAAGGGGAUAGCGAAAAAACAAAUAUCGACCGGCUAAAUGGAGUGUGGUUUGCCUUUCCAAAGACCAAAGCAGGUUGGGCAUUCAUGACCUUGAGGUUAAGAAUAUUGCCCUACUCGGAAAAUGGUUGUUUAAGUUACCGACGGAAGACUGGGUUUGGCAAACCCUCCCAAAGCGGAAGUAUGGAGGCUCAAAGGCGGUAUCUCAGGUAUACUAGAAGCCUGUGGACUCUCACUUUUGGGCGGGUCUAA
rnacentral:rRNA from 1 species